UGGUCAUAGCAUAGACACAUGUAUAUAUAUAAACACAUGUACACUGGUUUUAAACCGCCUUUCAGUUAUUCUCUGCCUGAUUGUGAACAAGAGUCUCCUUAUCUUCUUGACUGGAAGUAUUCAAUCCACUACUACUGACAUCAUCAUGGAGAUCCGUGUGUUCGGCCUGGUUUUGCUGUUGGUGUUGAGCGCCGCUCUGCCUGCUGAAGCCCAAACCUGGGAAACAUUUAAAAAGAAUUAUAUUUACCCAAACAUGCCUAAUAAUUUAUGUUCCAACACAAUAGAAAUGAGGAAAAUCAAUACCGGUAGUGACUGCAAGGAUGUGCACAGCUUCAUAACAGCAACUGAAGAUCAGGUCCUGGCUGUGUGUGAGAGAGCUGGCAAUCGUGUGGGUGGGACUGUUUAUGAAAGCAGCCAGAAUUUCAAUGUGGUCACCUGCAUAAGGAAAAGAUUUAAACCGUGUAAAUAUGAGGGUCGUCGUAGCAAUCUUUACAUUAUAGUAGAAUGCAAGGAACACGCCCCUGUGGAUUUUAUUGGACAAAGAUCUGGUUAAUUACCAGGGCCGCCAUUUAAAAUGCUAAAUGCAUGCUGGGGUUCUUUAUUUCUCUCACUCUCCCAAAAAAAAAAGCUUGUAUCUCUCUGAUGUUUAUUUCCUAUUUAACUUCAUUUUCAUUUUUUAUUUUAUAUGAACAUUUGUUAACAAUGAAUAUUUGUAUUCCAUAAAAAUUCUACAUGUGAUUUGAGUAUUCUCUGUGGAUAUGAAAAACAUAUGGUUCAAUACCUGUACAACAAAUACAUCACUGGCUUUUGGAAUACUUAUUUUAUAUAGUUAACUUUUUUUAAAUGUUAGAGUAUAACAUCAAUACCUGUCAUCUUCAAUAAAGCUAUCAAUCAUUGCAAA